rnacentral:sRNA from 1 species
GGGCGGCUGAAGAAGGAGCUUCUUCUCCGGAGUGCGCCGGCGGCGGCGCCUGCGGACCUAACUAGCUCCAGGUUAGGCCGGGCUUUGCGGGAAAGCAGCGGACUUGAAAAUACUGGAAAUCUGUCCGGAUCCAAAUUAUUUUGCAAGCCAGAUGAGUAACCAGAGGGCAUGAAAGGUUGAGAACAUUUGACUUCCCUGCAAACCUUGGUAUAGAUCACUUCCUUUUCUGUAGGAAAGGAAAGGCACCAAAGAGCACAAUGAGUACACUGGAGAUGAAAUUGUGGACCUCACUUGUGAAUCUUUAGAGCCUGUGGUGGUUGAUCUGACUCACAAUGACUCUGUUGUGAUUGUUGACGAAAGAAGAAGACCAAGGAGGAAUGCUAGGAGGCUGCCCCAGGACCAUGCUGACAGCUGUGUGGUGAGCAGUGACGAUGAGGAGUUGUCCAGGGACAGAGACGUAUAUGUGACUACCCAUACUCCCAGAAACGCCAGGGAUGAGGGCGCUACAGGCCUCAG